CCGGGGCAGAAGGUGGGAGCUGAGAAGAGCUUCUAGGGCAUUCUGGAUUAGGGGCGUUGAGAGCGGGGGAAGGAACCCGUAAGAGGGAGAGAUGUGUCCCUCUUUCACUUCCAGAUGCCAUAGAGUCUACAAACCCACAAGUGUUUCUCGGAACUGAAUUUCAACACUAUGUUGACAUGGUUAGGGCUGAGGCAGCCCCCACAGAUGCAGGUGACUAAAAGUUCCAUAGAGAUCUUCAGGGAAGGCUUUAGCAUCUACCUAGAGCGCAAAAGCUGAAGAGUGACAUGGCCACACCCAUUUUACCUCAGAGAGCUUUGGGAACUUGCCCAAGGUCAUGGCGGAAGUGGUGGAGCCUGGAGUCAAGGCUGGUCUCAGAGCCACCUGACAAGUGUGGAUCAACACCAGCCCGGCACCCAUCAGCCACCCACCUUCCUGCUGGUGAGACUGAAGGCCCAUGACGCUCCACAGACUCAAAAACUUCCUCCUUCAAGAACAAACAGCCGGGUUGUGUGAAGAAUAGAAGCUUCUUGAAGACCGGGACUUUGUCCCGUAUCCUCAGUGGCUGAAAAAAAGUGCCUAACACAUACUAGUAGCUCAACAAAUGAAUGGCAAAACUGUAAAGAUGGAGGGAGAACUAGCCCUAAGGUGGAGAGGUGCUGACCCGGACUCCAAUAUCCGAGGCGGGGCAAGACAGCAGCCACCAGAGGCACAGUGGAAAGGGAGCUCAAACCUUGGCCUCAUUAGUACCAGCCUGCCAUGCACUGAGCCACCUGCCUCCCUCCCACGGAGGCAGCAAAGAGAGCCGAGUCAGCAACUAUUAAUGAAGAAGGAAUGGUGGAAUUAUAAUAUCACCACCAGGUAACCAUCCUUAUAAUAACUGAUUCCGGCAAGAAUCAACAAUAAUGUUACAACUAGUGGGCAAAGGUUUGAGGAAGAGUAAGAUAUUUACAUAUUCUCAAAGAAUCUACCCACAAGAUACAUGUUAAUUACAAAGGAGGAAAUUAUCUUUACAGCAGAGAAAUCUAGCAGACAACACCUUAGCCAAGCAAGUUAGACCACCGGAGAGGGGACAUGGAGAGCCCAUGUGCCUCCUGAUAUGAUUCACUGGGAAGGACAAAACGUGCUUCUGUGAUAUUCCUGCCAAACAGGCAUGACUUAAAUGGAACCAUGAAGAACCAUCAGACAACCCAGAUGAGGGCCAUUUUACAGAAUAACUGCUCUAUGCUUCAAAAAGAUCAAUGACAUGAAAGAGAAAGAAAAUCUGAGAAAUCAUUCCAGAUUCAAGGAGAAUAGAGAGACGAGAAUUAAACGCAGCAUACUGAACAAAAUUUCUUUUGUCUUAGAAGAUAUUAUUGGAACCAUUGGCAAAAUCUGAAUAAAUUCUGUCGAUUAUCCAAUAGAAUUGUAUCAGCAUUAAUUAUCUGGUUUUGAUAAGUACACUGUGGUUAUGUAAGAAAAUGUCCGUAUGUAAAAAAAAAAAACAACAACAAAAACACACGUUGGGGUAUUUAGGAGAAAGGGACAUUACAACCUUCUCUCAAACAGUUUAGGGGGAAAGCAAUAGAAAAACAGACACAUUGAGAGGAAAUAAUAAAGCAAAUGUGGAAAAUUGUUAGCAGUUGGAGAGUCUGAGGGAAGAGCAUGGGGAAAUUCUUUGUAUUGUUCUUGCAACUUCUCAGUAAGUCUGAAAUUAGCCUGAAAUUAAAAGUUAAGUGAAAAAACAGGCCAGGUGCAGUGGCUCGCG
rnacentral:lncRNA from 10 species